rnacentral:rRNA from 1 species
CCUACGGGAGGCAGCAGUGGGGGAUAUUGGACAAUGGGGGCAACCCUGACCCAGCGACGCCGCGUGAGUGAAGAAGGAUUUCGGUUUGUAAAGUUCUUUCAGCAGGGAAGAAAGAAAUGACGGUACCUGACCAAGAAGCCACGGCUAACUACGUGCCAGCAGCCGCGGUAAUACGUAGGUGGCAAGCGUUAUCCGGAUUUACUGGGUGUAAAGGGAGUGUAGACGGUAAAGUAAGUCUGGAGUGAAAGCCCGGGGCUCAACCCGGGGACUGCACUGGAAACUAUUGUUCUUGAGUGCAGGAGAGGUAGGCGGAAUUCCUAGUGUAGCGGUGAAAUGCGUAGAUAUUAGGAGGAACACCAGUGGCGAAGGCGGCUUACUGGACUGUAACUGACGUUGAGGCGCGAAAGCGUGGGGAGCAAACAGGAUUAGAUACCCGGGUAGUC